ACGGCGUCGCUGGGACCUGUCGGGCUGCGGGAGGCGCGUGCUGCCGCGAGUCGAGCGAGUCGACGAGCGGGCCCCGUCACAUCACACCGUGCGCCUUGACGGACGCAUGAACCCGGUGCACUCUGCGGGCUUAAAGGCAUGCGAUACGACGACGGCGGCGGCGCAGCACGCGAAAUCACUGCAGGAUUUGGAAACGGGCGGUAUUAGGUUUGGCUCUUUGCGUCCACGCAGACGACGGGGUGCUGCAGUACCUCAUGCAUUUCUCAUGUACUGCGUGUAUGUGGGAAUUAAAUCUCCACUAUUGUCCUUGUGACAUGUCAUUUGCAUUUCAUUUUUAAAUAUUUUUAUUUUUUAUGACAACUUCAGUUUUCUGUUUGACAUGAAAUAUAAAUUUAAAUAGCAAUGAGGCCUCAUCCAGAUCAUCUGUAAUUGUAAAUACUGGUAAUUAUGUCAUAAUCCCACAUCCCAGUUUGAGCCAUGUGGGGCCUAUUUCAUUUAUUAGUGUAUUUCACCAUGCAUUAUUAUUUAGCAUUAGAGAAGAGAUAGAAGAUUGCUUAUGUAUUGGGGAAGACUGAAAUGUGGAAUCAUAUGUUAAGUCACCAUUUUACUGUAUGUUAUAACUCAUGUGUUGUGUCAUGGGUUCCAUGUAUGUUCAGAGUCAUAUAGCCAGAGGGCAUAAGCAGAGUAUAUAAUCAUGUGUGUGGAGAGUUAGUCAGUCGGUGACUUGAAACGACAGAGAGGGGGUCCCGGCUCCAGACAUCUGUAUUUGAAUUAUUUAAGUAUGUUUUGACUUGUAUUUAAUACAUUAAUUUUAACCGACAAGGUGCCUGUUCUCAACAAAGAACUUGAGGGGGGACUUGAGGUUUCAACAGUCACAAUCCCACAUCCCAGUUUGAUCUACUGCUUUUUGUU